rnacentral:misc_RNA from 1 species
AAGACUAUAGACCUGCGGAGUACCUGCGGAGGGAUCAUUACAGAGUUGCAAAACUCCCUAAACCAUUGUGAACGUUACCUAAACCGUUGCUUCGGCGGGCGGCGCGCCCUCGCGCGCGCCCCUGGGCCCCACCGCGGGCGCCCGCCGGAGGUCACCAAACUCUUGAUAUGAAUUGGCCUCUCUGAGUCUUCUGUACUGAAUAAGUCAAAACUUUCAACAAUGGAUCUCUAGAUCGGAAGA